CUCCCUCUGAUCAACCAGCUGUCACCGGCUCACACGGUGCAUGUGAUGCGUUUGUGUCCGUCUGUACAUGUCGCUCCUCUGCAAAUAUUCACAUUUUCGCUUGUUAAAUUUUUACGGAUGAAGACGUUUAAUCACUUUUGCGUGCGACUAGUUCCACACAGAGGACUUUACAGGUGAGAAAAGCGCGAAUAUUUCUCGUGUGCGGUUCAUUUCGGUGCUGUCUGAAUUUUACUUCCUCGUCAGACUCAACAUUCAAAAUCACCGCCAUCAUCGCGCUGCUGCGCAAACACAGCUUUUUACUGGAAUAAACCCUGAGAGAAGAAGAAGAACGAGGACUGGAUGGGGCAAAGCCACAAACGAAAAGGCAACAGCAGUGAAUUCACGUUUAUCUGAGGAAACUAAUGAACUAUGAGUGGGACUUUGUCGAAGAAGGAUGGCUCAGUGAAGAAUGACAGCCUGGGACGCUGCUGGUGGUGUUUUGGUGGUGAUAACUCUAUGGCUGCUCUCCUUUCCUACUGUGGGUCAGUCUCCGUUCCCUGUCAGUGGAUCUCAGGACGUCUACCAGGCAGAGGAGCACAGUAACAUCACACUAACAUGGCUGUUCUCUGUCACUGCUGACAUGUCUGACUCCCUGUACAUAGACAUUAUAUUUGUGGAACCUUUCAGAACGGUUUUCCAUUAUGAAUUUAAAACCGCGCUGUAUCUAGAUGAGUUCUACAGAGGACGAGUGCAGUGCGAUCCAGAGCUCGCCAGGAAAGGACGGAUUGACGUGGUCUUUACUAAUGUGACACUAGACGACACAGGGACGUAUCAGUGUUUUGUCUCUGUUGACAGAUACAGUAACUACACAACAUGUGGCCUCAAUGUUACAGGUAAGCUCUAAACAUCACGGUCUCCUUUGGUGAUUCUCAACUCAUUUUAAAAUACAAGGUAAUUAACUUGGGUUUGCAGCAGAGAAAAUUAUAUAGAUAGAUAGAUAGAUAGAUAGAUAGAUAGAUAGAUAGAUAGAUAGAUAGAUAGAUAGAUAGAUAGAUAGAUAGAUAGAUAGAUAUUUUAUUGAUCCCCAAGGGGAAAUUUUGGUGUUGCAAUUUUGGUGUUAUAUCUGAGAUUCAUAAUAAAACCCAGGUUAAGGGCAGCCUUUAAACUUUUUUAAUGGCUUUUUUUAUCUGCCGUGGUCACAACCACAAUAAUUUUGUUUCUUCCCCCCCUCUGACUGUGGGUUUGGGGAUUGUAAAACCUAAUUUGCCCACUUUGCUGACUUUUUUAUUCCUAAAGCUGAUUUGUUUUGAAAGGAGCUCCCUGUUGUGAUGUCACAGUUUCAGUGUCAAAACGUUGUAGAAGUUCUUCAUAAAAAUCAGACAAAGAGGCAGAAAACUGUGUUCAAAAGUGAGGUUAGGUUUAUUUAAGGCCAAUACACAGAGACACAUCCAGCUCCAGGGGCGGCACUUAGCUCCCCCACAGUAGAGCUGUGACAUGAAGCUCAAAGAUACAGAUUCUGGGACAUCAGUCAAAGUUUUAACCCGUAAGUGUCACCAACACUUUGGGUUUUGUUCCACACCUUGAUGUGUUUUUACACCACCCUUCCUGCUGCAACCCUCCAGUUUUUUAUCUGGGUUCAUGACUGGCACCGGGGUCGCCCUUGGUGGCUGGGCGGGGUCACAUGGUGACCAGCUAACAGUCCGGAUGUCCCAGAGAUGUCAUGUGAAAGGUUAAAGCUAUUUUUAUGACACCGUUACAACUUAGUGCAGGUUGCAGGAGCUGUGAUCUGUGAUCCUGCCGCUGUGCCUUUGUAACUCGCAGAGUGUCCGUGUUUUUUUGUUUUGUUUUGUUUGUUUUUGUUUUUCAACUUCAUUCAUGGUUCAAAAUCUCACAGUCGACCUCAAAUCCAGCCGUUUUUCAGAGAGCCGGUUCACACACGUUCUCAGACAUGCUGCUCACUAUGAUCUACAUGGCUUUUCAGCAUGACGGUGUACAGGCACAUUUUGGGAUUACAGGGACAAAAGGGCCUAAUAUGGGCGCUUUAAUGUGGGUUAGUGCUAUUCUUGUUAUACUGGAUUUUACAAUCAGCAGCUUUUUGAUUCAAAUAUUGUAACACGCAGUGAUAUUCACUCCUCUUCUCACUUUUAUAAUAUUUAAAUUGAACCCCUGCCAUGACUGGGUCCCCUGUUUUCAGCCUGCACCUCUACACAGCCAACUGAUGCUGCUUUGCAUUCUUCUGCCUCCUUUACCUUAUAAUAAGUUUUGUUUUUAUUUCUCAUUCUAACAUACAAGACUAUCUGUAUGACUUAUAUAUGUGUAAGGGUAGGAACACAGUGUAUGGUUGUGAUGCAGGGGGCACCAGCUUAAAAUCUGUCCGUGUCCUAAAACAAGAUUUUAGGAUUUUUACCCACUAAUUCAGGUAAAAUUAAAAGGUUGACUGAGAUGUAAAUUUGCACAAAUCCAAAAGGAGCACAGUUUAAUUUAUUCCUUAUAAUUUUGUUGAUGUUUGUUUUGGAAAAGUAAAAAAAUUCAUUAUUUUCCAAAGACAUUGGAUUCAGAUUGUCUCUCUUUCUACAGCCUUGUGUGCACAGAUAAAUAAACUCAUACUAUAUUUUAUUAAUAUUAAUAAUAUGUUACUUAAAAACUACAAAUAAUUACUAAAUAUAAUAAUAAUAACUUACUAAAAAUAAUUCGAUGAUUGAGUCAAUUUCAUAGCUUUUUAUCUGCUUUAUUAAAAAUAAAUUUUUAGGUCAUUUCGUCAUAUUAGAACAAGUUUAACGUUAAGUUUCUGUUUCACCUGUGAUGAACCUGCUGUAACAUUGUGCGACACCAACUAAUUCUGGUUACAGUCACAUCAUCAGUCAAACAUUUGGCUCUUUCUUCAUGUACUGCUGAGAUAAAAUCCUUCUGUAUCUGUGCUUAAAGAACAACAUCAGCUGUAGACAUAUACUAAAAUGAUUAUUAUUAUUAUUAUGAUAUUAUAAUGACAUAAUACGUAUUUUUUUAGGUAUAUUUGCUGCUUUACAGAAACAUUUAAUUGUUGCACUUUGCACAUGAAUAACACAUAUUUUAAUAUCUUUGCAGCAGUCAGUCGUCAGCCUCCACAGGAAAACUCAUCACCAGCAGGCCGAGAGAGGAUCUUCUGUUACGUUGUAGUUGGAGUGUUAUUCAUAACUCUCGUUACCAUUUGGUAUUUGAGCAAGAGGAAGGGAGAUGGUGCUGUUGUUCAUGCUGCUGCUUCAGGGUAGACACCUGACUUCAUAAGAAUAUGCUACUCAUAUUUAUUUGUUGUUCUUUCACGUUUUAAGUGGCACAGUUCUAAUAAUUAAUUCAGUUCCUCUGGUUUGAGCUUAACUCCCCAAACUGAGUUCAUAGUACUCAUGCAAUUUAAAAAAACUGCAGUUCGAAGUGACCACCACCCUCAGCAAUAUAAUAGGCUGAACUGAGUGGCACACUGCAUUGUUGAAAGUCAAACUCCUCAGUAAGAUGGAGAACUCAUUUAACCAGAAUUGCUGAAUUUCUGAUAUUACUGCCGUUUUCAUUAAUAUGUUUAUUGUUAUACGUUGAAGUGUUUUUACAUACGCACAUAAAGUCAGUGACCACUUUAUUAUAUACACCCAUGUACACCUAGGGGCAACAUGUAGCUCAGUUGGUAGGGCGAUCAUCUAUAAACCCCAGUGUCAGUGGUUUGACUCCCGGUUUCUCCUGACUACAUAUCAAAGUGUCCUUGGACAAGACACUGAAACCCCACAAUAGUGCCGUCAUCUACUGCAGCUGUCCAAACAAUAAUUUCCCCAAGGGGAUCAAUAAUAUCAUUGUUACCUGAAUUCAUUGUGCCACAGACAACACUAAACCCUUGUUGCUGGAAGCAAUUUGAGGUGAGGUGCUAGUGUUAUGUCAUUCUGGCAUCAGUGAAGAUUAACUGUGGUUGUAAAGACAUGCACAUGGUCUCAGGUAUGUUGCAGGUGCUAGAGGAAUAACCAAAUUAUUAACCCCUUAUCUGCAUUUUAAAGCAGUAAUUAAGAUUCGACUUUUCUGGUCACCUGCUGUCCAUUUUCAUCUCAGUUUUCCAGUGUGGUCUACGGUUUGUUUCUGCUCGCUCGUCUCUGACCUCUUGAACAAAAGUUGCUCUCUGAAUGUUUUGUGGCUUCGGCAUCAUCUACUGGAAAGUGUAGACACUGUUUUGAGUGAGCAGCAGUUUGUGAAAAACACAAAUCAACCCGACAGACAUCAACGCCCACAUUAGAGUCUGGUUCACUUUCUAUAUCACAGUAGUAGAUGUUAAUAUUACCAGCCAGUUGUACAAGUGUACCUAAUAAAGUGGUCAGACUAACGCGGUGAAACUUGAUGCUAAUAAAGACAAGCUAUAUGUUGUGUUUUUUCUAACUUUCUAUUAUUAAGUUUUGUCACACUAAAAUAAACUGUUUUGAAGAAUUAGAGGUGUCUUUUUUUAAGGAGCAUUGUAGGGACUGUAGGUGUGGAAACAAAAUCACCAAGAAACAAACCAGAGAUGCAUGAAAAGUAGUAAUGAAUAAAUCAAUUCAAGUUGAAAAUCAUGCUUGGAUUUCUCUUGGAAAUGUAGUAAAGCACAUCAUACAAUUAAAACCAUUUACUGCAUAUCUUAGGUGUGUUAUGAUAUUAGUAUGGGGACAAAAACAUCUUGUGAUUCUUUAAUAACAAUGAUAAUGCAAGUGUAAAUAUGUGAGUGAAUGAAUGAACCCUGUAAUUAAGGUGUAUUUGAUGUAGCAGGUGAUGUCAACUAUGACCAGCAGAGGUCGUAGUCUCGCUGUCAAUCAGGUAAGAUUAACAUUUCUAUGGUCUUCAGAAAUACUGGAAAACUGUAACUGAGUACACACAUAUCAGCAGUAUCAGUGUAUAUAUUUUGUGUUUGGAUUUAGGAUUGUAGGUGCAUGGGAAUAAGUAAAGCUGUUAAAAAAACGUAACAGAGUAACAGUAACAUGAAAUUGAAG
ensembl:lncRNA